rnacentral:rRNA from 1 species
AUACGUAGGGGGCUAGCGUUAUCUGGAAUUACUGGGCGUAAAGGGUGCGUAGGUGGUUUCUUAAGUCAGAAGUGAAAGGCUACGGCUCAACCGUAGUAAGCUUUUGAAACUAAGAGACUUGAGUGCAGGAGAGGAGAGUAGAAUUCCUAGUGUAGCGGUGAAAUGCGUAGAUAUUAGGAGGAAUACCAGUUGCGAAGGCGGCUCUCUGGACUGUAACUGACACUGAGGCACGAAAGCGUGGGGAGCAAACAGGAUUAGAUACCCUGGUAGUCCACGCCGUAAACGAUGAGUACUAGCUGUCGGGGGUUACCCCCCUCGGUGGCGCAGCUAACGCAUUAAGUACUCCGCCUGGGAAGUACGCUCGCAAGAGUGAAACUCAAAUGAAUUGACGGGG